rnacentral:rRNA from 1 species
GGCAUGCUUUACACAUGCAAGUCGAACGGCGGCACAGGGAGCUUGCUCCCGGGUGGCGAGUGGCGCACGGGUGAGUAAUACAUCGGAACGUGUCCUGUUGUGGGGGAUAACUGCUCGAAAGGGUGGCUAAUACCGCAUGAGACCUGAGGGUGAAAGCGGGGGAUCGCAAGACCUCGCGCAAUUGGAGCGGCCGAUGCCCGAUUAGCUAGUUGGUGAGGUAAAGGCUCACCAAGGCGACGAUCGGUAGCUGGUCUGAGAGGACGACCAGCCACACUGGGACUGAGACACGGCCCAGACUCCUACGGGAGGCAGCAGUGGGGAAUUUUGGACAAUGGGGGCAACCCUGAUCCAGCCAUGCCGCGUGCAGGAUGAAGGCCUUCGGGUUGUAAACUGCUUUUGUCAGGGACGAAAAGGAUCGUGAUAAUACCAUGGUCUGCUGACGGUACCUGAAGAAUAAGCACCGGCUAACUACGUGCCAGCAGCCGCGGUAAUACGUAGGGUGCAAGCGUUAAUCGGAAUUACUGGGCGUAAAGCGUGCGCAGGCGGUUCUGUAAGACAGAUGUGAAAUCCCCGGGCUCAACCUGGGAAUUGCAUUUGUGACUGCAGGACUAGAGUUCAUCAGAGGGGGGUGGAAUUCCAAGUGUAGCAGUGAAAUGCGUAGAUAUUUGGAAGAACACCAAUGGCGAAGGCAGCCCCCUGGGAUGCGACUGACGCUCAUGCACGAAAGCGUGGGGAGCAAAAAGGAUUAGAUACCCUGGUAGUCCACGCCCUAAACC